AUCCAAGUGCUCGGGCUUUACGCUUACCAGUGAGGAUUCGUCCGAGGUAGCGUUUUUGCUAGUUGAAAACUACAACUAUGACCGCUCCAGUUGGUCUUCGGAUCGGCUGGGAAUUUUUGUAACAAACUCUGUACGCUU
rnacentral:snRNA from 1 species